rnacentral:precursor_RNA from 1 species
GCGGAGCCCAAGGGACAACUGCUUGAGGCCAAUCACGCACGGCCUUAUUAAGGAGAGUCUUUGAAGUGUUAGCUCCGUU